AAAAGUUUCCUCAACCUUUCACUUCUCUUUGAUACCACCUAGAUACAUAGAAUCUCGUAUUUCUAUAAUCUUGUGAUAUACAUCGUACUUUUUUUU
rnacentral:sRNA from 1 species